rnacentral:rRNA from 1 species
UAUAAUGGGUCAGCGACUUAUAUUCUGUAGCAAGGUUAACCGAAUAGGGGAGCCGAAGGGAAACCGAGUCUUAACUGGGCGUUAAGUUGCAGGGUAUAGACCCGAAACCCGGUGAUCUAGCCAUGGGCAGGUUGAAGGUUGGGUAACACUAACUGGAGGACCGAACCGACUAAUGUUGAAAAAUUAGCGGAUGACUUGUGGCUGGGGGUGAAAGGCCAAUCAAACCGGGAGAUAGCUGGUUCUCCCCGAAAGCUAUUUAGGUAGCGCCUCGUGAAUUCAUCUCCGGGGGUAGAGCACUGUUUCGGCAAGGGGGUCAUCCCGACUUACCAACCCGAUGCAAACUGCGAAUACCGGAGAAUGUUAUCACGGGAGACACACGGCGGGUGCUAACGUCCGUCGUGAAGAGGGAAACAACCCAGACCGCCAGCUAAGGUCCCAAAGUCAUGGUUAAGUGGGAAACGAUGUGGGAAGGCCCAGACAGCCAGGAUGUUGGCUUAGAAGCAGCCAUCAUUUAAAGAAAGCGUAAUAGCUCACUGGUCGAGUCGGCCUGCGCGGAAGAUGUAACGGGGCUAAACCAUG